GAGCCAUUCACACUCUAUAUCCUUUAGAAUGUCCAGGAUCCCAAGAAUACCCAAAAGAAUAAGUCCACCGGAAAACUUACCACCACCUCCACCUCCAUUACCGCCAUUUCCAUCAUUAUCUCGAGGGGGCAACCCCGGGCCAUUGUCAUCAAGUUUAGGGGACUUCACUUUCUCUGUCAUCCCAAACAAAGCGUAUCAUAUUGAUUGGCAUUGAACACAUAAGGUUAUGAGCUCAUGUGUCGGUUUCUACCCCCUCCCGAUGAAGCCUGAUGUGAAAGAUCCGAGCGAGUUUGACAGAGUUCGUGUGGAAGAAAAGGAAGAAAGUGGAUGUUGUCAACCCUUAUCUCCUUACACUCCAACAACCAUAACUUGAACUAGUGAGGUCCAAUUGACGUGGUUCUAGUAGUAUUGGAAAGCCAACUUCCAGAGCUUUCCAACGAUAUAUAAUAGUAUAUACUUUCUCUCUGGCAUCACGACGCUAAACGCUAUGACAUUAGUGUUUAGCGCCAAACCGCGUCCAGCACUCAUUCUUCUUUAGAGUCCCAGUGCCAAAUGCUAGAAACUGGCGCUAAACCCCGGCAGUGCUAAUAGGAGUGGUACCUACGUCUUUAAUAAAUUAGCACGGAAGGCUUUAUUUGAUUUUCAAUUUAAUUUUUGAAUUAAGAAAAGAUAUUUUUAGAUUUAGAAUUUAUUAUUCGAUUUUAGUUUUAAAUCAAAUUAGGUUAGAUAUAAAAGGGAAAAGAUUUAGCCCUUCGGGAGAUCUUCUCUCUUACACAUUUUCACACUUUCUGAACCCUAGUUUUUUCUCUGAGUCAUGAGCCACUAAACCUCCUUGGUUAAGGUUAGGAGCUCUGUUUAUUUCUAUGGAU